ensembl:lncRNA
CCUGACCACAGAUCAGUCCAGUCAGGCGCUCAGCUGUCCCCUCCUACCUUUAAGCUAAAACUCCCCUGACCACAGUGGCCCUCUGAUGGAUUGUGACACACGUCUGGCCACAUGACUAGCUGUGACAUAAGUUUGCGUUUACAUACGGUCACGCCACCCGUGUCUUUCAUCAGGACUGUCCGUGUGUGUGUGUGUGUGUGUGUGUCUUUGGAAGCUGGGAUCUGCUGAGAAUGUCUCCACAAGCUCCUUGUGACAUGAGCAGUGCAGCAGUGAGAGGCUCAGUUCUGUGUGUGUGUGUGUGUGUGUGUGUGUGUGUGUUGCGAGGUUCAGUUCUGUGUGUGUGUGUGUGUGUGUGUGUGUGUGAGCAGUGAGAGGCUCAGUUCUGUUGAAUGUUCGCUCCACUCCGUCCUCUUCAGGCCGCUUAGUCCGUGACCCCAUUACAUCAUCCCGUUCCAUCAUCCCUUUUUGCGCAAAAUGGGGCGAGACUCACACUCCUCUGACUCACUCACACUCCUCUGUAAGAUCACGACCUCUCCCCAUAUCAGCAGAUUUAAGCCGUUUCUCAACAGGCACAUCUCCACUGCUCCCUCUAAUCGUUAAGCCAACACACACACGCACACACACACACACGGCACUUCAUGACAGGAGCGCCCGUGCAGGGACAACACAUACACAUACACACUCAUACUUACACACACACACACACUCUAAUCGCUAACGGGUCAAGCUUAACGGCCGAAAACUCUACCACGAAAGGAAAGCGCUGACUGGACAUCAGCCAAUCGGGGCCCAGACGUGGCUCAGACGUGGCCCAGAUGAGGCUCACGCUCGCCUGGGUCAGACCUGGGUACGCUUGCGUCUCUAUUCGGCUCUAGUGAAGGGAACUUCUCACACACACACACACACACACACACACACACACGUUUCCCUCCACGGAAUAUCUCAGUGGAGACUCCCCAACAGCUGUAGCCAAUCAGCAGUGAGCAGCCGGCUCGCGGCAGCUCGAGGGACGUUCCUUUGCUCUUUCCCAAUUCCCCACUCCAACAAUCAGGUUGCACUGAAACAUGCUUUACCUAAAUAAAUAAACUGUCAAUUCUCAGACCCCGACAGAGCAGCUCUCGAGGCCUGGCUUCCGGGGGGGGGGGGGUUGUGAGAUAUUUGAAAUCUUAUUGAAUGUUUGUGAAACGAAAAGAGGGGGAGG